rnacentral:lncRNA from 1 species
UAGGGAUGGGGGUGUCUGUGCUUCCCUCGCCCAAGCUGAGAGUGGCCUGUUCCCAGGGGGCGGGCUUCCUCUUUGGUUGGCAGCCUGGAGUCUGGAGUGCAGGUGCCGGGCAGGCAGCACUGGGAGCGCUCGGCGACUUGGCUGGAGGCCGAAGGUGCCGCCCCUCGGGGACCAGAGCGUCUUUGCAAGCGUGGUUGGGGAACUCCAGAGCCCCACAUCACAGUUCAGCAUGUGCCUCAGGAGCUUCAGCACCUCCUUCGUGAAAGGAGAGUCUGCCGGUGACGGGGGAUGCAGGCCAUCAGCCUGCCCAGCUUCAUCUCAGGCCGCUUCCAACAGCGCCAAGCAAACUCCCUUGGCAAGAUCCAUGCAAGGCCGCAGCUGACCACCGGGAGGCAGCAGCCUACUCUGCAAGGCACUUUCUUUACCCGACCCCCACCCCCUUUUAACAGGUGGCAGGAAACCUGCUGAGCCAGCCAUCUGCUGCACCCACCCUUCACUCCCAGUCCCAUCUCCCCAUAGCACAGAUUUCCCUAUCAUGAGCCCAGACGUGACCUGCGUGUCCUCUUGCCUUCCUCUGCCCAAGGAAUUCCUACAGAGAUUCUUUCUCUAUCCUCCUUUGUACAUUUCCAAGGAAUUGUUUGCCCAGGGUCCCUCCCCUUGAAGAAAUUAGACAGGAAGCUGGAGUAGAUGGUUCCCUCUUUCCCACCUCUCACACUCCCAAGCUCUGGUUAACUCUUUGUGGGCCAGUGGCUAGAUUCCCCAACACAGAUGACAACUGAACAACACACAUGCAGCGUAAGAAAGUUGUCGCUGCCACCAGCCACUUACAGACACACCAUUGUUAGGGUCCACCCAACUGGACUGUUUCCCCCUCCCAUAGACUAAGCCCCAAAGGCCAAAAAGUAAAACCCGCUACCCCAAACCUGCCUGUAACUGUUUGACCAGAGGCCAGCUGUCCCAGGAUGCGGUUAAGACGUCUACUUUGCACAACAGAACUGGCAAGAAAAACAUCUCCAGGAAGCGGUCAGACACAUGGCACAAAGGACCCCCCCCUUUUCUUUUUCCUUCACCCUGACCCAGUUCUAUGUCCUGUAAAACCUUGCUCUAGCCUAUAAGUGGGGCUGCCUUCUCUGCUUUUGUCAAGAGGCAGCCAGGCAGGACUGACAAUAAAUCAGUUUGCC